UUCCCCCACGUCCUCAAUCUUCCACCACAAAACUGCUCUCUCAUGACUUCACCUGCGAAGGUGCUUUCCACUUGCACACUAGGUGAGACCUGAGGGAGUUUGCCUCUCAACAGCCAGGGCCCCCCAGAAUCCAUAAUAAUACUCAAAACUUCAAUUACACGUGUGGUUCCAACCAUUUGAUGAAUGAAUGGUUUACUUGCCGAGACAACAAAGGAGGUAUCUGGAUACAGUCACCGCGCUGGGUAAUAAACCCGGGGAAUAUCAAAGCGUUUAGUCGGUUUAAAGACAAGCAUGAACUCUGGCAUGUAAGUAUGAGCUGUUCUCCAAGUAUGAAUCUCUGCAGUGUGUGAAACAGUCAUGUGGGGCCUUGACACAAAGCCAAAGAAAACAGAAUCUGCUUUGCAUAAGAGACAAAAGUUGCACAAUAGAGUCGGUAAUAUCUGGUCAAACAAACCUGUGAUUGAUGCAUUUCAGACAAUAGGAUAGUUCAGCACUGAAAAGGAUCAUGGGACUGUGACCAAAGAGCCUUUAGAUCACUUUUCUGGGAGAGGCCUGAAUGCGACUCAACAACUUCGUGGUUCUGUGGUUCUCAUCCCAGCAUCCGGUGGCGGCUUUGGGAACUGCACGCUGGGAGGGGAAAAGGUUUAUCUCAUGGAUUUGAUGUGGCAUGCAGAUAAGGGUGAGCGAGGGUGUUUUGAGACCCCACCUGGAUUGAGAACAAGCGGGGGUUCGACGAGGGACGCGGACGCUACACGGCGCACACUACAAAGGGCUGGCGGGGCGAGGUGCACGGACGCCAUAACACAGCCAAAGUACCAUUGUUCUAUCCCUGUUUCAUCUCUCCUCCUUCUCUCCAAAUAUUUGGAGGAACGCUCUGAAUAACAUACUGGUACUGAGAGUAUUGCACUCUGUAUAUUGUUGAAAGGAACUGAGGCAGUCUGAGUUUUUCGCUCUUCAAAGACGGUUGCUUUGUUUUGUUUGGGUUUUGUUUGCUCCUGUAUUUGAAUUGUGUACCGUGAUUUCGUGGAUAUCUCAUUGUUCCAGGAUUCGAGAUUGUUGAACGGAGAAGCGCCCACUGGCUCAUUUAUUUUCAUUGCGUCACGUGAAUCAUUGUAAUUGCGACACACGGGGAAAAACAGGCUGAAAAGAUGCAAAUAAUAACAACCAGCUCCCGUUUCCUGCUGCCGCUACUGGGUAGCUGAAGAAGUUUAGUUCCCCUUCAUCAUUAGAGCUUCAAUAGGACGGUUCCUAUACAGACUUCCAGGGUGCACAUUUCCAUACGCGAGUCAAUGGGAAGUCAGUGAUUAAAAAUCCAAGACCACAGCUUUGCAUCUGAGUUCAAAAAACACCGAGCAGAAAGCGUGGAGCUGGGCUAUUAAUCAUGUGAUCAGUGGGGGAUGAGUGCGAAGCUUGACGGUGCAGGGUUACAGCAUCGUCUUAUAGGGUCGUUUGAUAGCCCUUUCCUGGGGACCCCAGCAUUGAUUGGGCCCUGAGGGUGCCCUGCGGCGCUGCCCCGUUGCCAGGGACUGACUGACAGCUCUAAUGAAGCCUGCCAUCGUCGGGCAAGGGACCGCUCCAGAGCAGGCACCGAACUUCAAUCGGCUUGUGUGACGUCCAAAGAGUUUUGAUAUCUCGGCAGCGGCGAGGGGGUAGAAAGGAGACCCCUGUGGGAGACAGGCAGCCCUGGCCUGCCUUUGAAUAUCGCCGCGUUUACCGCGUGUCAGUUCUCGGUGUUGGAGAUGCACAGAAGGGAGAUGUGGGGUUGGACGGGUGGGGGUGGUGGGGGUGACGGGUGGCUCUGGUGAAUUUUUCAUAAGCAAAAAGAGAAAAAAACAGAGAAGGCCCCGCUGCCCCAUGGGACCAGGUUCAGAUGUUGUCAUGUGAAUGCAGACGCUGACGUUCUGUCGUUGUGCUAGUUCACAAUGAGGACUGUUUGAAUUGCGAGGGUUCGGUGUUGCAGCUUCGUUCUCUACUUGAAAAAAGAGAAAACAUGUCAGGUCUGUAGUUUUUCUCAUGCUUCAGUCACAGAAGUUGAAACUCUCUGCAUCCCUCUAUCCGCCACACACACACACACACACACACACACACACACACACACACACACACACACACACACACACACACACACACACACACGCUCCGUCUCCCUCUGAUGGAGGGAUGUUGAAGAGCAGUGGAACCUCAGAAGGCUCAUCCUCACUUUGUUCUAUUAUUCACCAUCUCUGGCUUCAGAACUCUCUAGGAUCUCCAUGGGGUUACACUCUCUAUCCUGAUGGAAAGACUCCUGCGCCGCUGAGAGCCUGUUUACUCCCCCGGCCCGGGCCCCGCGGUCCACUGGCGUAUACAAGCAGUCCCUCCACUUCCAUGCUCACAUCAGAGCCAUCAAAAAGAAAUCAAAACCAGACUGGUGCGAGCCAUUUGUUAAUCUCAUGUUCCCUGGCACUGUUCGGAGCUACUUGCCGAAUGAAAACGCGUCUGGCAGCUCACCUAAAGAGCCCGGGCCGCGACACUCUGUCCAGCGCUCAUCUCCUUUUGUUUUGUUCGCUUAGUCCAAAUCUUUACAUCCUCGCCCACUCUGAUACAAUGCGAUCCCGUCUCAGAAUGCUCAUUUGUACCAGCAUAAAUAGUUAUUUGAAAGAUAAAAGCAAACAUGUUUGUUUUUUGUUUGUGUUUUUUCCUCUCCUCAGCUCCCCCAAGGCAUUUAUGAGCACUUUGGUAAUAAGGACCAGAGAAGGAUUUCGCUGAAGAAGAGGAGCAGAGGAUGCUUUGAUGUACUCUUAGAUUAAGUGAAGUCUACGGUGAUGUCUACAAAAAUACAUGCAGCACAUACACUCAGCUCAGCGAAGUGGAUUCCUCUCAGCUGGUCCUUCCUCUCUGGUCCCAAACCAUCGCAGCAUGAAAGACAGUUUGUAUGUUCUGUGGCAGCAGGAGACUUGUACGGACCUUGUCGACAGCUUCAGAUGAACCGUUCCCCAAAGAAACACAAACUAGGGGGAAUUUUUUUUUCAGAAACUUGCUUUUUCCCCCCCAAACCAGAGAUUUUCCCCAACAAAAAUCUAAACUUUUAAAAAGACUGGGUUCAGAGUUGCUUUGAUUUUCGUUUUUUUAUAUACAUUGCUCUGGUUAAAAGAGAUUCAGCAACUAGGCAACGCUCUGAAGACGAGCGCGGGCCGAGCGUCCCGACGCAGCGCCGGGGUCUGAGUCAGAGGAAACCUCUGAGAGAUGGAGACAGUGGGAAAGAUUUUGUAACUUGUUAUGAAAUAGCAUUUUCAAUACUAAAUCUUAUAUUAAGUUUUCAACAUUGGUCUAAGUGCGAUGAGCUUUUCAGCCAGAGGCACCAAAAAGUCUUAACUCUAUCCUUUUGCUAUUUCGUUUAUUCUAAUUACUUGGUUAGUAAGCGGAGGUCCAGUGACGCUGUCAAGACCGCGUUGGGCUCAGUAAAAAUGUGCAAUAAGUGGGUUUACAAAUCAGCAAGCGGGCGGUUUCUUAAAAGAAACCCUCCUUGGCUCAGUGGCUGCUGCGAUUCCCCGUAUGCGCUGCGAUUUGUAUUUGUUUAGGCUGUUAAUGAAAGGUCACAUGAAUAAUUGAACAUAAACAAAGCAUGUGAUUUCUAAUGAGCUGCGCCUCUGUGAACACGUGAAGCCUGAGUGCAUGUGGGAUAGAUUCUGAUGAUCGAAUGCUGACCUCUACUGGACUGCGACCAAAGCCACUCCACACGUGCUGCACCCAUAAUGACUGAAUACAUUCAUAGUAAUCUAGUGCAUUAGUAACAAUUAUUUAUUCCUAUUUCUAUUUGGUCAUUUGUGGUCAAUGAUGCCUGCAUUGAAUUCACUCUUUAUAUCUCUUCUUUAAAGCAAUUACAGUAUAUAGUUAAAUGAUAUCAUUUCAGCAACUGAAUAUUACAACCUUAUGUUUUCAUAGAGGAUUUAAUGAAGCUCCAUGUAUUAGAGUGAUUUUUUUUACCUUACACUGUCCAGCUGCCCCAAGGCCUCGCUCCUAUCGACGGAUAAAACACACCUUUUCCCUAUUUUGUUGCCGUGCAAGUUCCGCUUCCCUUUUCCUCCCUACUUUUGAAGUUCCCCUCUCCUUCCCCACCCACACACAGCAGCGCUGCCACCCCACAUGGCUCAAUUAACAUUGUGGGUCCAAGGGUGUGAAUUAUUUAGCGAUGAAUUAUUAAUAAAUAAUAACAAUGAGGCUCUGGGGAGAUGCAGCUCAGUCAAUUAGGAGAGAUGGGGAGAGCGAAGGCGAGCAGCGAGCGGUUGGAGGCGGCGGAUCUGCGGCUGAUCUGAUCUCAUCAUUAUCACCGCCCGUCAGACACAAUUACCUCAGCCGCGCGCUCCCCAGCACUUCAAACAGCGGCCCUUCCCUGGGAUUCUGACAGCCUCCACCUUCCACUAUCUGGGCUCAGCCAGCGAACACAGCUCACUUCCACCGACUACAUCACAAGCUUGUACAGUACAGCGUCGCGUUUUGCAACGCGGGCACGAAAAGCGUUUGUUUGUGAUCGGCUGUAACAGGAUGAAACCUGAAACAUCAGCGCCUGUCAGAAGGUGACGGAGGCACAGGUCCUGUAAAUAAUCAUGGUCCUCAGAAGUUAGGCAUUUGUUGCUUUACAACAAAGGAAAAAUAACAAAGCAAAAUCCAAAUAUACAGUAAAUUACUCAAUAUUUUCUUGCAUAGGUAUUUACACCACAAAUACACAUACAUCGUCAAAGGUGCUUAAAAGCUUAAACCCAUGGUUCGUCAAUGUAGUCAGGGGUCGCAAAUGAUUUCUAAAAGUAACACCUACAUGUGUCGCUUACACUAUGAAACAUCCAGUAUAUCAUCGUUACCACAACGCUGUGAAAAUACUUCUUGUACAAUAAGGUUUACGUAGCUAGUGGAACAUUCGCUGCCUCUCAGUGUAGGACAGAGUCAUGACACAGCAGCUUGAAGAUGAAGUGAAAAACAGUAAACUGAAGUUAAAAAUAUAUAGGCGUUCAUAAGUCUCAUUCCCUGAAACAAGUUUAUGCUCCUGAAGGUAAAUAUAUUUUCAUAUUAGGAAUGUGAGAUUGUGUUUUAUGUAUAAGAAAACACAAGGUGGCGCCAAAGACCAACAUGGAACUGCAGUGCAGGUAUGUAGCUAAUCAUUCAAACAUUUAAUAAGUAAAAUUGUAAAUGUAUUAUCAGUAUUUAUAUAUGUUUUACAAAAAACAAGUAAAUAUUGUUAUGCGCUUUUUGUAUAACUUUAAAAUGGUAACUUUACAAUAUACAGCUAUCUUUGGUGCCUAAAACGGUGCUUGUGUAAUGCUGAUCUGCGUACAGCAGGUGGCAGUGUAAUCCCACAAUCAUGACCUGACAAAGGCAUCCAUCAAAACUAUUUAUUUAUUCUUUGCUUAUGCAUUGAUCAAUAUAGACUCUCGAAGUAAAACGUGCCUUUGAAAAUCAGCAAUGUUUAAGCUGUUUCCGUAAUGAAAUGUAAAAGCAUUUUUGUCAUUUCAAAUUAACUAAUUAAACGUUAUAGUGCA